CAGUCGCCGCGGGAAUACGGAGGGUGCGAGCGUUAAUCGGAAUUACUGGGCGUAAAGCGUACGCAGGCGGUGUGUUAAGUCAGAUGUGAAAUCCCCGAGCUUAACUCGGGAACUGCAUUUGAAACUGGCAGGCUAGAGUCUCGUAGAGGGUGGUAGGAUUCCGGGUGUAGCGGUGAAAUGCGUAGAGAUCUGGAGGAAUACCGGUGGCGAAGGCGGCCCCCUGGACGAAGACUGACGCUCAGGUACGAAAGCGUGGGGGGCAAACAGGAUUAGAUACCCCUGUAGUCCCUGUCUCUUAUAA
rnacentral:rRNA from 1 species